rnacentral:rRNA from 1 species
GAUGAACGCUGGCGGUAUGCCUAACACAUGCAAGUCGAACGAACUCUUCGGAGUGAGUGGCGGACGGGUGAGUAACGCGUAAGGAACUGCCCUUAGGAGGGGGACAACCACUGGAAACGGUGGCUAAUACCCCAUGUGCCGAGAGGUGAAAGAUUUAUCGCCUGAGGAUGUUCUUGCGUCAGAUUAGCUAGUUGGUGAGGUAAUGGCUUACCAAGGCGACGAUCUGUAGCUGUUCUGAGAGGAAGAUCAGCCACACUGGGACUGAGACACGGCCCAGACUCCUACGGGAGGCAGCAGUGGGGAAUUUUCCGCAAUGGGCGAAAGCCAGACGGAGCAAUACCGCGUGAACGAAGAAGGCUCUAGGGUCGUAAAGUUCUUUUAUCAGGGAAGAAGAAGUGACGGUACCUGAUGAAUCAGCAUCGGCUAACUCCGUGCCAGCAGCCGCGGUAAG